AUACGUACCAUUGAAGGUGGAUUUAGCUGAGUUACUCAGCUGGGUGAGCCCUGUAGGGUUUUUUAAAGUAACCUACCCAAGUCCCAACCCACAACCUACGGUGGUAACUCAUUUAGUAUUGUUAUUAUAUUUUAGAACUCUUCUCUGUCAUAUAAUAAAUUUUUAUUUUUACCAAAAUUUAUUGACUUUGCCUUCACGUUUCUCUCCGACUCCCUCGCUCGCGUUCUUUCUGCUUAUUUAUACCUCCCAUCUCCUUUCUCUUCCUAGCAUCGGCUUUGGAUUUACCUCUGAUACUCAGCUGGGUGAGCUCUUUAAGUUUUAGGGUUUCAGAGUUUAGGGUUUAGGAUUUUAGGGUGACCUCUCUCUGGGCCGGCAGAAUUGGGUGAGAAUUGAGUGACCUCUCAGGUGGGGCGGAUCUGAAGCUGGGUGAGCUCUCUAGGUUUUAGAGUGUAGGGUGACCUCUCUCUGAACUGAAAGAACAUAAUGGAUCGUGGAUCUAAAGCAGAUUCAGGCUUAUCAGAUUCCAGGAUUAUCAUAUCUGCUAGGUCUGUGGAGAGUGCAAGCUGUAGAUGGAAGACAAAUGAAGCUCAAAAGAGAAGAUUGGAGUCCAUUUUCGCGAGUGGAACGAGAAAUCCAUCUUUUGAGCAAAUAAACCCCAAUUCUUGCAACUGGUUGCAAAAUGCAAAUAGACUAUGUGAAAGUAAACCUCAAUUUUUCAAGGAGCUCUUCUACUGCUUGCGCUCUCCACGACACUAGCAGAUCUGAGCAAAUAAACCGCACUUCUGCAGAGCUGCAGGCCCAUGGUGCUGUGGGAGGCAUGAGCGUAUUCUACUGGUUCCAAAAUCCCAGUGCGAGAAGGAAACGGCAAAAAAAAAUGAGUAUAAAAUAUUGUGCAUAGUCUUUCGGAUUAUAUCUUCUAUGAAUAAGAUUACGGCAUCUUUCUGAAUAAUAUAUAUUAAUAUGCAGGAAGAGGAAGUGGAUAGUGGAGCUCGCUGGGAUUCAUUGUUUGAUCAGAAAAAUGGAAUCAGUUCAUUUGCAUGCCGAUAUGUGAGGGUGUUGGCAUUCCUGCAAAACUGGUUUAUCUUUUGUGUAGUGUAGGGUUUCAUAAACAAAGUCUGAAAAAGGACAUUCUAAAUAUGAAAAUGUAGUAGCGCAUAGUCUAUAUUGCUGUGAUGCUACAAAAAUAAGAUACGUUUUGAGAUCAUGUACCACAUGCAUAGUUUUUAUAUAUGACAUUUUAAAUCUUUUCA